UACGUAGGGGGCUAGCGUUGUCCGGAAUCAUUGGGCGUAAAGAGCGCGUAGGCGGCUAGAUAAGUCCGGUGUGAAAGUCACAGGCUCAACCUGUGAAUGCCGCUGGAAACUGUCUGGCUAGAGUCCGGAAGGGGCGAGUGGAAUUCCUGGUGUAGCGAUGAAAUGCGCAGAUAUCAGGAGGAACACCAAUGGCGAAGGCAGCUCGCUGGGACGGUACUGACGCUGAGGCGCGAAAGCGUGGGGAGCAAACAGG
rnacentral:rRNA from 1 species